rnacentral:rRNA from 1 species
GUGAGGAAUAUUGGUCAAUGGGCGAGAGCCUGAACCAGCCAAGUCGCGUGAAGGAAGAAGGAUCUAUGGUUCGUAAACUUCUUUUGCAGGGGAAUAAAGUGCAGGACGUGUCCUGUUUUGUAUGUACCCUGAGAAUAAGGAUCGGCUAACUCCGUGCCAGCAGCCGCGGUAAUACGGAGGAUCCGAGCGUUAUCCGGAUUUAUUGGGUUUAAAGGGUGCGUAGGUGGUUUGAUAAGUCAGCGGUGAAAGUUUGCAGCUUAACUGUAAAAAUGCCGUUGAAACUGUCGGGCUUGAGUGUAAAUGAGGUAGGCGGAAUGCGUGGUGUAGCGGUGAAAUGCAUAGAUAUCACGCAGAACUCCGAUUGCGAAGGCAGCUUACUAAGCUACAACUGACACUGAAGCACGAAAGCGUGGGGAUCAAACAGGAUUAGAAACCCUAGUAGUCC